AUUGAACGCUGGCGGCAGGCCUAACACAUGCAAGUCGAACGAGUGGCGGACGGGUGAGUAAUGUCUGGGAAACUGCCAGAUGGAGGGGGAUAACUACUGGAAACGGUAGCUAAUACCGCAUACCCUCAGAUGUGCCCAGAUGGGAUUAGCUAGUUGGGGGGGUAACGGCUCACCAGGGCGACGAUCCCUAGCUGGUCUGAGAGGAUGACCAGCCACACGGGAACUGAGACACGGCCCAGACUCCUACGGGAGGCAGCAGUGGGGAAUAUAGCACAAUGGGCGCAAGCCUGAUGGAGACAUGCCGCGUGUAGGGAGAAGGCCUUCGGGUGGUAAAGUACUUUCAGCGGGGAGGCGUUACCAGCAGAAGAAGCAACGGCUAACUCCGUGCCAGCAGCCGCGGUAAUAC
rnacentral:rRNA from 1 species